rnacentral:rRNA from 1 species
AACGAACGCUGGCGGCAGGCCUAACACAUGCAAGUCGAACGCUUCAGCAAUGGAGAGUGGCAGACGGGUGAGUAACGCGUGGGAACCUUCCCAGUGGUAUGGAAUAGCCCAGGGAAACUUGGGGUAAUACCGUAUACGCCCUUCGGGGGAAAGAUUUAUCGCCAUUGGAUGGGCCCGCGUCGGAUUAGCUUGUUGGUGAGGUAAAAGCUCACCAAGGCGACGAUCCGUAGCUGGUCUGAGAGGAUGAUCAGCCACACUGGGACUGAGACACGGCCCAGACUCCUACGGGAGGCAGCAGUGGGGAAUAUUGGACAAUGGGCGCAAGCCUGAUCCAGCCAUGCCGCGUGAGUGACGAAGGCCCUAGGGUUGUAAAGCUCUUUUGGCGGGGACGAUAAUGACGGUACCCGCAGAAUAAGCUCCGGCUAACUUCGUG